UACGGGAGGCAGCAGUGGGGAAUAUUGCACAAUGGGCGCAAGCCUGAUGCAGCCAUGCCGCGUGUAUGAAGAAGGCCUUCGGGUUGUAAAGUACUUUCAGUCGUGAGGAAGGUGUUAAGGUUAAUAACCUUAGCAAUUGACGUUAGCGACAGAAGAAGCACCGGCUAACUCCGUGCCAGCAGCCACGGUAAUACGGAGGGUGCGAGCGUUAAUCGGAAUUACUGGGCGUAAAGGGCACGCAGGCGGUUAAUUAAGUUGGAUGUGAAAUCCCCGGGCUUAACCUGGGAAUGGCAUUCAAGACUGGUUAGCUAGAGUCUUGUAGAGGGGGUAGAAUUCCAUGUGUAGCGGUGAAAUGCGUAGAGAUGUGGAGGAAUACCGGUGGCGAAGGCGGCCCCUGGACAAAGACUGACGCUCAUGUGCGAAAGCGUGGGGAGCAAACAGGGAUUAGAUACC
rnacentral:rRNA from 1 species